UACAGAGGGUGCGAGCGUUGUUCGGAAUUACUGGGCGUAAAGCGCGCGUAGGCGGCCCGGUAAGUCCGCUCUGAAAGUCCAGGGCUCAACCCUGGAAAGCGGGUGGAUACUGCCGGGCUAGAAUCCGGAAGAGGCGAGUGGAAUUCCUGGUGUAGCGGUGGAAUGCGCAGAUAUCAGGAAGAACACCGGUGGCGAAAGCGCUCUGCUAGGCCGCAACUGACACUGAGGGACGAAAGCUAGGGGAGCGAAUGGG
rnacentral:rRNA from 1 species